UUACGGCCAUAUCACGUUGAAACGCCGGUUCUCGUACGAUCACCGAAGUUAAGCAACGUCGAGUUUGGUCAGUACCUAGAUGGGUGACUCGUUGGGGAUAACAGGUACUGUAU